rnacentral:rRNA from 1 species
UUGAACGCUGGCGGCAGGCCUAACACAUGCAAGUCGAGCGGUAGCACAGAGAGCUUGCUCUCGGGUGACGAGCGGCGGACGGGUGAGUAAUGUCUGGGAAACUGCCUGAUGGAGGGGGAUAACUACUGGAAACGGUAGCUAAUACCGCAUAAUGUCGCAAGACCAAAGUGGGGGACCUUCGGGCCUCAUGCCAUCAGAUGUGCCCAGAUGGGAUUAGCUAGUAGGUGGGGUAACGGCUCACCUAGGCGACGAUCCCUAGCUGGUCUGAGAGGAUGACCAGCCACACUGGAACUGAGACACGGUCCAGACUCCUACGGGAGGCAGCAGUGGGGAAUAUUGCACAAUGGGCGCAAGCCUGAUGCAGCCAUGCCGCGUGUGUGAAGAAGGCCUUCGGGUUGUAAAGCACUUUCAGCGGGGAGGAAGGCGGUGAGGUUAAUAACCUCAUCGAUUGACGUUACCCGCAGAAGAAGCACCGGCUAACUCCGUGCCAGCAGCCGCGGUAAUACGGAGGGUGCAAGCGUUAAUCGGAAUUACUGGGCGUAAAGCGCACGCAGGCGGUCUGUCAAGUCGGAUGUGAAAUCCCCGGGCUCAACCUGGGAACUGCAUUCGAAACUGGCAGGCUAGAGUCUUGUAGAGGGGGGUAGAAUUCCAGGUGUAGCGGUGAAAUGCGUAGAGAUCUGGAGGAAUACCGGUGGCGAAGGCGGCCCCCUGGACAAAGACUGACGCUCAGGUGCGAAAGCGUGGGGAGCAAACAGGAUUAGAUACCCUGGUAGUCCACGCCGUAAACGAUGUCGAUUUGGAGGUUGUGCCCUUGAGGCGUGGCUUCCGGAGCUAACGCGUUAAAUCGACCGCCUGGGGAGUACGGCCGCAAGGUUAAAACUCAAAUGAAUUGACGGGGGCCCGCACAAACGGUGGAGCAUGUGGUUUAAUUCGAUGCAACGCGAAGAACCUUACCUGGUCUUGACAUCCACAGAACUUUCCAGAGAUGGAUUGGUGCCUUCGGGAACUGUGAGACAGGUGCUGCAUGGCUGUCGUCAGCUCGUGUUGUGAAAUGUUGGGUUAAGUCCCGCAACGAGCGCAACCCUUAUCCUUUGUUGCCAGCGGUUAGGCCGGGAACUCAAAGGAGACUGCCAGUGAUAAACUGGAGGAAGGUGGGGAUGACGUCAAGUCAUCAUGGCCCUUACGACCAGGGCUACACACGUGCUACAAUGGCAUAUACAAAGAGAAGCGACCUCGCGAGAGCAAGCGGACCUCAUAAAGUAUGUCGUAGUCCGGAUUGGAGUCUGCAACUCGACUCCAUGAAGUCGGAAUCGCUAGUAAUCGUAGAUCAGAAUGCUACGGUGAAUACGUUCCCGGGCCUUGUACACACCGCCCGUCACACCAUGGGAGUGGGUUGCAAAAGAAGUAGGUAGCUUAACCUUCGGGAGGGCGCUUACCACUUUGUGAUUCAUGACUGGGGUG